rnacentral:rRNA from 1 species
GAUGAACGCUGGCGGCGUGCCUAAUACAUGCAAGUCGAGCGAACAGACGAGGAGCUUGCUCCUCUGACGUUAGCGGCGGACGGGUGAGUAACACGUGGAUAACCUACCUAUAAGACUGGGAUAACUUCGGGAAACCGGAGCUAAUACCGGAUAAUAUAUUGAACCGCAUGGUUCAAUAGUGAAAGACGGUUUUGCUGUCACUUAUAGAUGGAUCCGCGCCGCAUUAGCUAGUUGGUAAGGUAACGGCUUACCAAGGCAACGAUGCGUAGCCGACCUGAGAGGGUGAACGCCUACCCUGGAACUGAGACACGGCCCAGACUCCUACGGGGGGCAGCAGUAGGGAAUCUUCCGCGAUGGGCGAAAGCCUAACGGAGCAACGCCGCGUGAGUGAUGAAGGUCUUCGGAUCGUAAAACUCUGUUAUUAGGGAAGAACAAAUGUGUAAGUAACUAUGCACGUCUUGACGGUACCUAAUCAGAAAGCCACGGCUAACUACGUG